UAAAAGUCAGUGAGCUGUUAUGUUUUCUUCCCUCUGACUUCAAUUCCUUGAUUCUUUCAAUUUUUUAAAAUAUAAAUUUACUGUCUAAAAGCUGGAUCAGCUUAUGCUCCUUUGUUGAGAGAAGUUGGCAUGCUGUCAAGUGGGCUGGGCACACUGAGUUUCAGUUUCCUUUCUCUGAGUCUUUGAAGCUUCAAGGCUGCUGAAUAAUUUCCUUCUCCCAUUUUGUGCCUGCCUAGCUAUCCAGACAGAGCAGCUACCCUCAGCUCUAGCUGAUACUACAGACAGUACAACAGAUCAAGAAGUAUGGCAGUGACAACUCGUUUGACAUGGUUGCAUGAAAAGAUCCUGCAAAAUCAUUUUGGAGGGAAGCGGCUUAGCCUUCUCUAUAAGGGUAGUGUCCAUGGAUUCCGUAAUGGAGUUUUGCUUGACAGAUGUUGUAAUCAAGGGCCUACUCUAACAGUGAUUUACAGUGAAGAUCAUAUUAUUGGAGCAUAUGCAGAAGAGAGUUACCAGGAAGAAAAGUAUGCUUCCAUCAUCCUUUUCGCACUUCAAGAGACUAAAAUUUCAGAAUGGAAACUAGGACUAUAUACACCAGAAACACUGUUUUGUUGUGAUGUUACAAAAUAUAACUCCCCAACUAAUUUCCAGAUAGAUGGAAGAAAUAGAAAAGUGAUUAUGGACUUAAAGACAAUGGAAAAUCUUGGACUUGCUCAAAAUUGUACUAUCUCUAUUCAGGAUUAUGAAGUUUUUCGAUGCGAAGAUUCACUGGAUGAAAGAAAGAUAAAAGGGGUCAUUGAGCUCAGGAAGAGCUUACUGUCUGCCUUGAGAACUUAUGAACCAUAUGGAUCCCUGGUUCAACAAAUACGAAUUCUGCUGCUGGGUCCAAUUGGAGCUGGGAAGUCCAGCUUUUUCAACUCAGUGAGGUCUGUUUUCCAAGGGCAUGUAACGCAUCAGGCUUUGGUGGGCACUAAUACAACUGGGAUAUCUGAGAAGUAUAGGACAUACUCUAUUAGAGACGGGAAAGAUGGCAAAUACCUGCCGUUUAUUCUGUGUGACUCACUGGGGCUGAGUGAGAAAGAAGGUGGCCUGUGCAGGGAUGACAUAUUCUACAUCUUGAACGGUAACAUUCGUGAUAGAUACCAGUUUAAUCCCAUGGAAUCAAUCAAAUUAAAUCAUCAUGACUACAUUGAUUCCCCAUCGCUGAAGGACAGAAUUCAUUGUGUGGCAUUUGUAUUUGAUGCCAGCUCUAUUGAAUACUUCUCCUCUCAGAUGAUAGUAAAGAUCAAAAGAAUUCGAAGGGAGUUGGUAAACGCUGGUGUGGUACAUGUGGCUUUGCUCACUCAUGUGGAUAGCAUGGAUCUGAUUACAAAAGGUGACCUUAUAGAAAUAGAGAGAUGUGUGCCUGUGAGGUCCAAGGUAAUGAAUGAUGCCCUUCGUAAACACAUUUUCUGGGGUAUGUUACUACAAUCACAUACUAGUGUGUAUAAAAGUAAAAACAAGCAGCUACUGGGUUUAAGAAGAAUUACAAAAUUACUUAAAUAGGGCCCAUUUCCCAAGAUUUAAAAAUUAAAUACAGUUGUUCCUUGGUAUUUGCAGGGGAUUAGUUCCAGGACUUUGCAUUGUUACCAAAAUCUGUGGAUGCUUAAUGGCAUAGUAAUUGUAUUUGCAUAUAACCUAUGCACAUCCUUUGGUAUACUUUAAAUAAUAUCUAGAUUACUUAUAAUACCUAACCCAAAUUAAAUGCUUUGUAAAUAGUUGUUCUACUCUAUUUUUAAUUAUUAAUGACAAGAAAAUAACCUGUACGUGUUCAGUACAGGUGAAAUAUUUUUUCAAAUUUUAUUUUUUUGAGAUGAAGUUUCUGUUGCCCAGGCUGGAGUGCAGUGGCAUGAUUUCGGCUCACUGCAACCUCCGCCUCCUGGGUUCAAGUGAUUCUCCUGCCUCUGUCUCUCAGCAGCUGGGAUUACAGGCACGUGCCACCAUGCCUGGCUAAUCUUUUCUGGUAGAGAUGAGGUUUCACCAUGUUGGCCAGGCUGGUCUCAAACUCCUGACCUCAGGUGAUCUGCUCGUCUCGGUCCCCCAAAGUUCUGGGAUUAAGGCAUGAGUCCCUAUACCCAGCCUUUUUUUUUCAAUUUUUUUUGAGCCUUAGUUGAACUCACAGAUGCAGAACCCAUGGAUACAGAAGGCUAACUGUCUAUCUUUACACUGACAUGGCUAGAGGAAGUCCAGAGAAAACUUGGAUUUGCUCUUUCUGACAUCUCGGUGGUUAGCAAUUAUUCCUCUGAGUGGGAGCUGGACCCUGUAAAGGAUGUUCUAAUUCUUUCUGCUCUGAGACGAAUGCU